CCGGACUUGUCGCUUCCGACCGUCGUGGC
rnacentral:sRNA from 1 species